rnacentral:rRNA from 1 species
GAGACAGCAGUAGCCGCGGGAAUACGUAGGGAGCGAGCGUUGUUCGGAUUUACUGGGCGUAAAGGGCGCGUAGGCGGCGCGGUAAGUCACUUGUGAAAUCUCUGAGCUUAACUCAGAACGGCCAAGUGAUACUGCUGUGCUAGAGUGCGGAAGAGGCAACCGGAAUUCUUGGUGUAGCGGUGAAAUGCGUAGAUAUCAAGAGGAACACCUGAGGCGAAGGCGGGUUGCUGGGCCGACACUGACGCUGAUGCGCGAAAGCCAGGGGAGCAAACGGGAUUAGAGACCCCCGUAGUCCCUGUCUCUUAUAC